AUCAUGGCUCAGAUUGAACGCUGGCGGCAUGCCUUACACAUGCAAGUCGAACGGCAGCACGGGAGCUUGCUCCUGGUGGCGAGUGGCGAACGGGUGAGUAAUACAUCGGAACGUACCCUGAAGUGGGGGAUAACGUAGCGAAAGUUACGCUAAUACCGCAUAUUCUGUGAGCAGGAAAGAGGGGGAUCGCAAGACCUCUUGCUUUAGGAGCGGCCGAUGUCGGAUUAGCUAGUUGGUGAGGUAAAGGCUCACCAAGGCGACGAUCCGUAGCGGGUCUGAGAGGAUGAUCCGCCACACUGGGACUGAGACACGGCCCCAGACUCCUACGGGAGGCAGCAGUGGGGAAUUUUGGACAAUGGGCGCAAGCCUGAUCCAGCCAUGCCGCGUGAGUGAAGAAGGCCUUCGGGUUGUAAAGCUCUUUCGGUGGGGAAGAAAUUGCACAGGAUAAUACCUUGUGUAGAUGACGGUACCCGCAUAAGAAGCACCGGCUAACUACGUG
rnacentral:rRNA from 1 species